rnacentral:rRNA from 1 species
UACGAAGGGGGGCUAGCGUUGCUCGGAAUUACUGGGCGUAAAGGGCGCGUAGGCGGCCAGCACAAGUCAGUUGUGAAAUCUCCGAGCUUAACUCGGAAAGGUCAACUGAUACUGUGCGGCUAGAGUGCGGAAGGGGCAACUGGAAUUCUUGGUGUAGCGGUGAAAUGCGUAGAUAUCAAGAGGAACACCUGCGGCGAAGGCGGGUUGCUGGGCCGACACUGACGCUGAGGCGCGAAAGCCAGGGGAGCGAACGGGG